rnacentral:rRNA from 1 species
AGUGAACGCUGGCGGUAGGCCUAACACAUGCAAGUCGAACGGCAGCACAGUAAGAGCUUGCUCUUACGGGUGGCGAGUGGCGGGCGGGUGAGGAAUACAUCGGAAUCUACUUUUUCGUGGGGGAUAACGUAGGGAAACUUACGCUAAUACCGCAUACGACCUACGGGUGAAAGCAGGGGAUCUUCGGACCUUGCGCGAUUGAACGAGCCGAUGUCGGAUUAGCUAGUUGGCGGGGUAAAGGCCCACCAAGGCGACGAUCCGUAGCUGGUCUGAGAGGAUGAUCAGCCACACUGGAACUGAGACACGGUCCAGACUCCUACGGGAGGCAGCAGUGGGGAAUAUUGGACAAUGGGCGCAAGCCUGAUCCAGCCAUACCGCGUGGGUGAAGAGGGCCUUCGGGUUGUAAAGCCCUUUUGUUGGGAAAGAAAAGCAGCAGGUUAAUACCCCGCUGUUCUGACGGUACCCAAAGAAUAAGCACCGGCUAACUUCGUG